rnacentral:rRNA from 1 species
UACGUAGGGUGCGAGCGUUAAUCGGAGUUACUGGGCGUAAAGCGUGCGCAGGCGGUUCGUUGUGUCGGCGGUGAAAGCCCCGGGCUUAACCUGGGAAUGGCCGUUGAAACUGGCGAACUGGAGUGCAGAAGAGAAAAGCGGAAUUCCACGUGUAGCGGUGAAAUGCGUAGAGAUGUGGAGGAACACCAGUGGCGAAGGCGGCUUUUUGGUCUGUAACUGACGCUGAGGCGCGAAAGCGUGGGGAGCAAACAGG